rnacentral:lncRNA from 1 species
GUUGUCCAUCUGCUAAGCCUAUGCCACUAGAUGCGGUGCAAGAAAGAGGGCCCUUUUCAGCAAGAUGCUAGCCCAAGUCCCCAAGUCCGUUGACAUCAUUUUUAAAUGCUGGACCUUUGGGAAACUGGUGACUUUGAGCUUUUCUUCUCGUUGCAGUCAAGACCACAGAGCUUCUCCUACAGAUUCGGCCAGGAAUUUUUUCAUAGUUUUCCUAGACUGGAAUGCCUAGUAUCCAGCUCUCAUCACUGACUUGGAUGUGUCUUGAAGAAACCCAAGGUUGAGAGAGCAGAGGUGUCCCACUGCGGCCCAAAGAUAAAGGCCUGUCCAUCAGUUAUGUCCAAACUGUCAGUUACCCAGAAAGCCCUUGAUAACAGGCAGACAGAAAGGCUGACGAACCAAAGAGCGUUAUAUGCUGGGUGCACAGCUGCUCACCUGCGCACUGGGGACAGUACAGGGUUCUUGUGCACUAGAAAUCAACCGCGGCACGGUGAGCGGGAUCCAUAGUACAGCUCCUCCUUAUUAGGAUUUCAAAGCUGACCCAACGUAAUACACUUAUACAAGGAUCUGAAUUCCUAAAUUCUUCACUUCGGGUUUUCAAAGGAUAGGAUCUUCAAUGGGAAUUGGGACUUUUGUCUGAUUUUUUUUUUUUUUUUCUACUUAGCUACCUAACUUCUCAAAACCACAGGACUGGUCUAUGUUAUUGUCCUGGUUACCCUCAGACUCUCACGUGGCGGCUACUGGAACUCUGGAGGUGAGCGUUGCAGCUGCUGAUCAGGCCCAUUCCCAGAUUCUCCAGGAAGGGAGCAAAGCGGGAGGCGACACGCUCCUUUAUCUUCAACUGGCUGAAUGCCAAAAUCCUUCACGUUACCAGUCUCUGCGAAUUCCAGCUUGUUAGUAUCCAGGUUAGCCAAGGAAAUUUCCUCCAUUUUAAUCUGUAAACGGCCGUGGAGAGGGCGCUCGGAUUACUCACAGCUGCACCGGCGGCAACGCGGCGAGUGCGGAAGCCUCCGCCGCGGCAACGGCAGGGGAGCAGCAGUCACCGGCGACUGCUCGGGAAUCCCAGGUCCUUCCGUUUUUUCUGGCGUUUCCCGGGGCUGGGACGUGCAGCUCGGGCUGGCCGGGACUCACCGCCGCCACACGGUGUGGGUGCCGCUCUCCGCCGCCGCAGUCUCUUCCGCUCGCUGGUCCCGGCUUAGCCCCGCCUCCCCACUUCCGCUCCUCAGCUCGCCUGCGCACGGGCGGCGCGCAGACGCGCGGGGCUGGUGCCUGCGCGCAGCUGCCUGGCGAGUGUUGGCGUUCAGGAAGAUGGGUGGGAAGAAGCUAAAUUUGGGAACUCGUUGUUUGAAUCUACUUGGUUUCCAGCAGUUCAUGGGAGAUAAUGAUAUGACAUCAGACUUAGCUGAUGAAGGAAACUAA